rnacentral:rRNA from 1 species
UACGUAGGGGGCAAGCGUUGUCCGGAAUCAUUGGGCGUAAAGAGCGUGUAGGCGGUUUGGUAGGUCCGCUGUGAAAACUCGAGGCUCAACCUCGAGACGCCGGUUGAAACCAUCAGGCUAGAGUCCGGAAGAGGAGAGUGGAAUUCCCGGUGUAGCGGUGAAAUGCGCAGAUAUCGGGAAGAACACCCGUGGCUAAGGCGGCUCUCUAGUACGGUACUGACGCUGAGACGCGAAAGCGUGGGGAGCGAACAGG